rnacentral:tRNA from 1 species
ACUCUCUUAGUAUAUUAAAUAUGACUGACUUCCAAUCAGUAGAUUCCGAAUAAACGGAAGAGAGUA